AAAUAUUGCCUGGAAAACAAUGUCUAGCGAGACUAAUGGUUUCACAGAAAGGAGCCAAACACUGUGAGUUUUGUUCUCACUGCUUUUCACCUCUUUCUGAAAGCUGUUCUGCAGUCAAACAACAUUUUAUCUCUGUGUUUCAUAACUAUUCUGUCUGUACUUUUCACCACUUCUUCACACUUUGAUCUGAUAACUUCAGGACUAGUCUGGUUUUCCGGGGUUACUCUGUUUCAGCUGCACUUUGGCCAUGAGAAGUUGAUCCUAUUUCUUGUUGCAGCCGCCACCUAUUUUACUUAAAUCUAGCUGAAACUGACAAGUGGACAGACGAUCAACUGGUCAUCUCAGCAGGAGCUUGAAGGCAAUUAUUCAAGAAGAGCAAGUAAAAAGUGUCUUGUUUGCUCUAAGUCAUGCUACAGUACUCUGACCCUGGAAUGCACUGCAGCAAAACAUGACAUAUCUGCAUCCUGAAGGAACAACAACAUAAAAAAAGCUUCGAAAGAAAAUGAUAUCCAUGGACUCUGUAUUAGGACUGUGACUGCUCAGCUAGAGAAUACAUUUCAUCUGGAAUCACUGCAUGAAGUUUUUGGAGUUUCAAGAAAAAAAAAUCAAACAAAACAAGUUUGUCGAUCUCAUAAAUCAGUUACCCCUUUCUGUUUUGUACAGAUAGGAGGUGUGUAGUCCAUGUGGAGAUGUAGAUAUCAUGUAAAAGACAAGAUUCUAAAAAGCAUGUUUGUUUUUAUUUUAAAAAAAUAUCAGCACUGUAAACAAUGAAUGAAGGCCUUGUAUAAUGAAUAUCUUAUUUUAAUCUGUGUUGCAAAAAUGUUACAACAAUAGGAAAAAUGUAUUACAUUGUAGAAUUUAAUUAAAAAAAAAUCAGAUAAUCAGCUAUCCUAAAACCUUACAUUCUUCCAGCGUAACAUUCUGUAGUUAGAAUACUUUAAGUUUUCUUCUUGGUUUCUUUUUUUUUUUUGUUUUUUUUUGUUUUGUUAAUACUUAUUAUUCAGCUAACAGAUUAAUUUCUUUCUGAAAUCACUCUAAUUUGGAUAAAGUUGACUUUUCUUCCUCUUGCCCGCUGUAUCUCUAUGAGUAGAUAAGAGCUGUUGAUUCUGUUAAUAUGUCUUAACAUCCUCUUAAGAAAAUCAUCUGGAAAAACUGAAAUUUUCUGUUAGAAACUAACGUUUGCCUACUAUUUGCAGCCAAAUCUGUUUACAGAUAAAAGUCAUGGGUGUAACUUUCCAUCUAAAAUUCUUUUCUUAGCUUACGAAACCAAAGGCGUAACUGUCCCCUAUAGAAAUCUAACAAUUCAGGAAACUAAUCUAGAAUUAUGCUUAAGAUACUAUAUGCAGCUUUUGUGUAAGACCUGAAGCUAAUACAUUCUCACAGCUUCAACAGCAUGGUUAUAUUUGAUUGUGGAACCUGGUGAAUCACUCCUGUACACUACACAGUUUCUUGCCUACUAUAACUACAUUAUUUACCAAUGUUAAGCAUAUCCAAACUAGACAUCUCCAGAGAAAGUGAAUAGAAGGUCAGAAAAUUGUUUCCCAUCUUUCAUUACAAAAGGCACACAAUUUUCAUUAUUGUGUGUUGUCAAUAUUCACUGCAAUUGUAUUCUUCCUCCCAUUCUCUAAUAAGAUAUUAGAAUAUUUUAUUGUCUGUAUUACAAUUACUCAGAAACAGAAUAUCAUUUGUAAAUCAAAACACAAAUAUCUUUACAAGAAGUUUGAAUAUUUGCUCCCUAAAUCAUUAUGCUGUUCUCAUAACAUAUUAUUGAUAUAAUUUUCCUGCAUUUAACAUGUAAAUCUGAAACUUUCAUCAAGGCAGCAUAUAAACUGAUUCUUCGCAGACGGACUAGCUCAUUACUCUGUCAUUGAUUUCUCUGAAGUUAGUUCUUGCCUGGACUAAAAAUUGGUAAUCACUUUUUGUUGCUUUUAGCCAAGUUCUGAAUUCUGAUUAAGCAUUUACACUGUGCUGGUAACCUGGCAGCUGGUUAUCUGAUUAAUAUGAAUAUCAGAGAAAAGAGAUUUUAAAAUGUGCUUAUGAAAAAACUCAGUUUUAAUAAUUUACUUGUGUUGCCUCAGUACAUCAGCCUCCCGAGAAAAAUAAAAUCCAAAUGAUAUGAAUGAAUUCCUCAAAUCCUAUAAAGAUAGAAUUUUCUUCAGGAAUAGGUCAUAAUUCUGUGUCAUGCUAGAGCAAAUUAUCCUAGUCACUUUCCCAGUUGAUAUUGCUAACUGUCAUUUUCUUCAGUUUUACUUUAGUUCUAUUUUUGUUCAUUAUUUUUAAGCAAUACUUCUUUUAAACCCAUUUCUUUCCUGCUAACAUGUGAUUUUGUUCAAGUAACAAGGCCAUGUGAUAUGUAAUUUAUGCCUACUCUCUAAUACUCCGAUUAAAGAAAGGAAGUAACUUCGUUUCUUAAUGGUGAAUUUGGAAUCUUUCACAUUUUAUUGCAUUAUAAGUAUUUAUGAUUUAUGAAUCUAUAUAUACAUACACAGUUAAUUUGUAGGGACAAGACAGUUUUGAAAAGCUAAUAAUUUCUGCAGCAUUGUAAUACUUUGAAUCAUUACUGCUCGAUUUUCUCGGGAAUUAUAUGUUUUGUACAUGAAACAUGAAAUAGGUGUUAAAGAGAUUAUUAGAAUGAGUAAAGUAGCCAAAGCUAUUAUUCAGUGAAUGCACUUGAGCUACAAAGGAGGAGAAAAAUAAUGGUAUCCUCUAUGAAAUGGAAAUUUCUUUACCAGUGGGAAUUUCUAGUCAAAUGGAUUAAUACUUCUCUUAGUACCCUUUGCAAUCUCGAAGGGCUUGUCAGUAAAAGAAUGUAUUAUAAAAUAAUGCUACUUCUAUAUCACUAAAAAAGCUAAACAUUCCAGACAGAAUUCAAUGAGGAAAAACAAACUGAAAAUUUUGCACUCAUAAGCAACCUUGAUUGCUCUCUUUGUUGUCCUUUGCAUUUCUUUACUAGUCAAAAAUUUUUUUUAGAAAUCACAUCCGCUUGUGGCAAAUUUCUUUUUGCCCCAGUUGAAGCUCUAAGUGAAGGAUUGAGAACUUUUUACAAAAUAAUAAUAAUAAUAAAAAAAAAUUAAACUUUCAUAAGCUUCUCUAAAUGGCAUAGAAGCCUCUUGCAUUCUUGGCUGUGGGGAGCUGACCUUGACUGUCUGCCACGUGUCCAUCCAGCCUCUCUCUCACUCACCCUCCACAACAUGAUGAGUGAGAAAAUAAGAUGGAAAAGCUUGUGGGUCAAGACAAAGACAGGGAUCCUAAUCACUUACCCUUGUAGACAAAACAGACUUGACAUGGGUAAA